rnacentral:rRNA from 1 species
UACGUAGGGUGCGAGCGUUGUCCGGAAUUAUUGGGCGUAAAGAGCUCGUAGGCGGUGUGUCGCGUCGGCCGUGAAAACCUGGGGCUCAACUCUGGGCGUGCGGUCGAUACGGGCAUCACUUGAGUUCGGCAGGGGAGACUGGAAUUCCUGGUGUAGCGGUGAAAUGCGCGGAUAUCAGGAGGAACACCGGUGGCGAAGGCGGGUCUCUGGGCCGAUACUGACGCUGAGGAGCGAAAGCAUGGGUAGCGAACAGG